GCUAAUGAGUUCCUUGCAAUCUGUGAGGUCAACCAAUUAAGCAGGGUCGGGCCUGGUUAGUACUUGGAUGGGAGACCACCUGGGAAGACCAGGUGCUGUAGGCA
rnacentral:rRNA from 1 species